GUUCCAGUAAGAAUAUUUAGUAUCUUAUGCAAUCUUAAUUCGCAAAUGUGCAACUGCUAAGUGAGGUUCUUUUUCAAGCGUUAACCUUAACUGCCAUAACUAGAUAGUGCUGUUACAGCAAGAAUGGGCAGCCUUUUUCAUUUUAUAUAUACAAACUAUGCUUAAUUGUUGGUGUUUAUCUCUCUCUGUGUGCAUAGACAAAUUCAGACACAUGAAAUUUGAU
rnacentral:misc_RNA from 1 species